rnacentral:rRNA from 1 species
UACGUAGGGGGCAAGCGUUGUCCGGAUUUAUUGGGCGUAAAGAGCGUGUAGGCGGCCAGGUAGGUCCGCUGUGAAAGUCCGGGGCUCAACUCCGGAUCUGCGGUGGGUACGGGCAGACUAGAGUGAUGUAGGGGAGACUGGAAUUCCUGGUGUAGCGGUGAAAUGCGCAGAUAUCAGGAGGAACACCGAUGGCGAAGGCAGGUCUCUGGGCAUUAACUGACGCUGAGGAGCGAAAGCAUGGGGAGCGAACAGG